CAGCAGCCGCGGGAAUACGUAGGGUGCGAGCGUUAAUCGGAAUUACUGGGCGUAAAGCGUGCGCAGGCGGUUUUGUAAGACAGGCGUGAAAUCCCCGGGCUCAACCUGGGAAUGGCGCUUGUGACUGCAAAGCUAGAGUGCGGCAGAGGGGGAUGGAAUUCCGCGUGUAGCAGUGAAAUGCGUAGAUAUGCGGAGGAACACCGAUGGCGAAGGCAAUCCCCUGGGCCUGCACUGACGCUCAUGCACGAAAGCGUGGGGAGCAAACAGGAUUAGAGACCCCCGUAGUCCCUGUCUCUUAUAC
rnacentral:rRNA from 1 species